UACGUAGGGUGCGAGCGUUGUCCGGAAUUAUUGGGCAUAAAGAGCUCGUAGGCGGUGUGUCACGUCGGCCGUGAAAACCUGGGGCUUAACUCUGGGCGUGCGGUCGAUACGGGCAUCACUAGAGUUCGGCAGGGGAGACUGGAAUUCCUGGUGUAGCGGUGAAAUGCGCAGAUAUCAGGAGGAACACCGAUGGCGAAGGCAGGUCUCUGGGCCACUACUGACGCUGAGAAGCGAAAGCAUGGGGAGCGAACAGG
rnacentral:rRNA from 1 species